rnacentral:rRNA from 1 species
AUUGAACGCUGGCGGCAGGCCUAACACGUGCAAGUCGAGCGGAUGAAGGGAGCUUGCUCCUGGAUUCAGCGGCGGACGGGUGAGUAAUGCCUAGGAAUCUGCCUGGUAGUGGGGGAUAACGUCCGGAAACGGGCGCUAAUACCGCAUACGUCCUGAGGGAGAAAGUGGGGGAUCUUCGGACCUCACGCUAUCAGAUGAGCCUAGGUCGGAUUAGCUAGUUGGUGGGGUAAAGGCCUACCAAGGCGACGAUCCGUAACUGGUCUGAGAGGAUGAUCAGUCACACUGGAACUGAGACACGGUCCAGACUCCUACGGGAGGCAGCAGUGGGGAAUAUUGGACAUUGGGCGAAAGCCUGAUCCAGCCAUGCCGCGUGUGUGAAGAAGGUCUUCGGAUUGUAAAGCACUUUAAGUUGGGAGGAAGGGCAGUAAGUUAAUACCUUGCUGUUUUGACGUUACCAACAGAAUAAGCACCGGCUAACUUCGUG